rnacentral:lncRNA from 1 species
AGUAGCUGGUGUCAUCUUCUGACUCUAGGUGGGGGAUGAACUCCGCCUUCUGCCGCAGUAGCCCUGUCCAGUCCAGGUCUCGGAAGAAACUAUGCUGCUUCACCUCAAAAGCACCACCUAUGGACAGAAGAUGAGAAAGGGGUAGAUGUCACUCAAGGCAAACCACCUAGGUCAAUAUGCAACAGGUUUGUGCCCUUUCACAUGAGCAUUAAACAUAGUGUGCAAUCGGAUGGACGGCAGCCUUGCUACUCUAUGGUGCAUCCAGAGGGAGCAGCUACACUGUGGUGCAUCAGAAGGGAACAGGCAUGUCAUGUGAGAAAGCAGUGCUAUGUGACAGCCAAUAGCUUGGUAAGAGCACCUAGAUGCAGCCAUUCCUAAAGGCGGCAUAGCAUAUAAGUUCCUAUGUUUCCUUGCUACACAAGAUAGAAAAAGAUAGAUAAAAUGGCUGGGGCUGAAGCCAAGCACACAAAAGGCCUUGAGUGUGAAUUCCAACAUGGCUCAGCCAUACCUUAAGAUGGAAAAAAAAAAAGUAAAAUGUAAAGUGUGAAUGAUA